GGGGGAUGUAGACCUUGGAAAAAUUGUUCGCCAUCACCAUGAGCAAGAUUCCCCUGCUGUCAAAGAGCUCCUGCAUACUCCAGCGCAUGUUUUGCCAUCUGCUUCCUUCCUGUGCCCCAUAUUUAUUAAUUCAUUGCUUGUCUCCAAAGAGAAGACAAGGCGAGUAGAACGUGUCAUAGAGGCAACAUAAAGCACACAAAAAAGUUCAGAUACGCAAGAUCAGCUACUUACCAUAUGGGCCUUUACAUUGCUGUUGUUAGUUAUCCUGUCAUUUGGCAUAAUGUACUUCUAAGCAAAACGUGUACAUAGAUACUCCAAAGUUGUUUGUCAAUUGAACUUUAUUUCCAGGUAAGGAUUGUAGAAGGCUAGAAUGGCUUGAGUUGAAAGGGACCUUAAAAUAAGUUCCAACCCUGCUGCCGUGGGCAGGGCUGCUGCUCAGACGUGACGUAACGUGACGUGUUUUACCUACCGUUGUUUAUACUUACAGCUUUCCUCAAUGGUGUCACAAGCUGUUGCCAUACUGCAAAGUUUAAAAUCAAUUAUACUGUUUUUACUUUAUUUCUUACACAAAAAAAAAUACAUUGGCCUUU